rnacentral:lncRNA from 1 species
CCCAGAUGACUCUAAUGUGCAGCCAGGUUUGAGAAAUGUUGAUCUAUAGCCUGGAGUACUGCGCCAAAGAGCAGGCACAGGUGGAACAUCUUAACAGUUGGGCAGAACAAUAACAGGCACUGUUGAUUCAGAAAGUAGGAAUGAAGGCAUGGACACAUUGCACAGUUCAUCCAUGGGAAGCUCAAGCAAGAGAACAAAAGAAGGAAAGAAAAUGAGGUCGGGAUUUUUAUUCUCCCAGCUCCCUUCCUGCAGAAUUAAUAAAAACUGCCUGAGGGCUGGGUGCAGUGGCUUAUGCCUAUAAUCCCAGCACUUUGGGAGGCCAAGGCAGGAAGAUUGCUUGAGCCCAGGAUUUUGAGAUCAGACUGGGCAACCUGGUGAGAACCUGUCUAUAAAAAUACAGAAAUUAGCCCAGUAUGGUGGUGUGUGCUGAGGGUGCAGUGAGUCAUGAUCACACCACUGCAUGACA